rnacentral:rRNA from 1 species
GACGAACCGUGCGAACGUUAUUCGGAAUCACUGGGCUUAAAGCGCGUGUAGGCGGGACGGCACGUCUGUCGCUGAAAUCCCCCGGCUCAACCGGGGAACGGGCGCGGAUACGACCGUCCUGGAGGGGCGUAGGGGGACCUGGAACUUCCGGUGGAGCGGUGAAAUGCGCAGAUAUCAGGAGGAACACCGAUGGCGAAGGCAGGUCACUGGGCCGCAACUGACGCUGAGGAGCGAAAGCAUGGGGAGCGAACAGG